rnacentral:rRNA from 1 species
UCGCUGUGUGUUACAAGUGUCGACACGGUACUGCCGAUAUUAAGUCGGAGGAAGUGGGAUGACGUCAAGUCAGCAUGACCUUUAUAUCCAGGGCUACACACACGCUACAAUGGCCAGUACAAUGGGUUGCCAAGCCGCGAGGCGGAGCCAAUCCUAAAAAGCUGGCCUCAGUUCAGAUUGCAGUCUGCAACUCGACUGCAUGAAGUUGGAGUUGCUAGUAACCGCAGGUCAGCAAUACUGCGGCGAAUACGUUCCCGGGGAUU